UUGUUUAGUUUUGUUGGGCAUUCGGUGGAUGCCUUGGUAUCAAGAGCUGAUGAAGGACGUUGCGGCCUGCGAUAUGCCUCGGGGAGUUGGCGAGCGAGCGUUAUUAUCCGAGGGUGUCCGAAUGGGGGAACCUAACCUGGGUUGUGCUGGGUUACCAUCAUCUGAACGUGUAUAGGGUGGUGGGGGGAACGCGGGGAAGUGAAACAUCUUAGUACCCGUAGGAGAAGAUAUUCCGUGAGUAGUGGCGAGCGAAAGCGGAGGAGGCUAAACCAGAUGCGUGUGAUAGGCGGCGGCUGUUGCGUGUUUGGUGUUGUGGGGCCAUGUUGGAUCCUUCUGCCGGGGGGUCGCGUUGCAUUGUGUUGGGAGUUGAACAGUCUGGGAUGGCUGACCGUAGAGCGUGAUAGUCGUGUAGAUGGACUGGUGUGGUGUGGCGUGGAUGUGGUGCCCGAGUAGUGCGGGACUCGUGGAAUCUCGUGUGAAUCUGCCAAGACCACUUGGUAAGCCUAAAUACUACUUGAUGACCGAUAGUGCAUAGUACCGUGAGGGAAUGGUGAAAAGUACCCCGGGAGGGGAGUGAAAUAGUACCUGAAACCGUGUGCCUGUAAGCCGUCAGAGCCUUGUGGGGUGAUGGCGUGCCUUUUGAAGAAUGAGCCUGCGAGUUAGUGAUGCGUGGCGUGCUUAACCCGUGUGGGGUAUGCGUAGCGAAAGCGAGUCUGAAAUAUUGGCGUUUGUCGCGUGUUCUAGACCCGAAGCGGGGUGAUCUACCCAUGGUCAGGUUGAAGCAGAGGUAAGACUGUGUGGAGGACCGAACCCACCAGGGUUGAAAACCUGGGGGAUGAACUGUGGGUAGGGGUGAAAGGCCAAUCAAACUCCGUGAUAGCUGGUUCUCCCCGAAAUGCAUUUAGGUGCAGCGUCGUGUGGUUCCUGGUGGAGGUAGAGCUACUGGAUGGCUGAUGGGCCCUGUGGGUUACUGACGUCAGCUAAACUCCGAAUGCCAUUAGGUGUAGCGCGGCAGUGAGACUGCGGGGGAUAAGCUUCGUAGUCGAGAGGGAAACAGCCCAGAUCAUCAGCUAAGGCCCCUAAGUGUACGCUCAGUGGGAAAGGAUGUGGAGUCGCGGUGACAACCAGGAGGUUGGCUUAGAAGCAGCCAUCCUUGAAAGAGUGCGUAAUAGCUCACUGGUCAAGUGGUUUCGCGCCGACAAUGUAGCGGGGCUUAAGCGUAUCGCCGAAGCUGUGGCAGCAACACGUGAUGCUGGCGCCGCCUUGGAUGUGGUGUUGGUGUGUUGUUGGGUAGGGGAGCGUCCUGCAUGAGGUGAAGCCUGGAGGUGACUUCUGGUGGAUUGUGUGGGAGUGAGAAUGCAGGCAUGAGUAACGAAUUCUGCGGUGGGAAUCCGCAGCGCCGAUUGACUAAGGGUUCCAGGGCUAGGUUUAUCCGCCCUGGGUUAGUCGGGUCCUAAGGCGAGGCCGACAGGCGUAGUCGAUGGAUAACCAGUUGAUAUUCUGGUACCGCGUUGUGACCGCCCGUGUUGAAGUCAUUGUGCUAACCGGUCCUGCUUCCUUGUGUGUUUGCUGCGCUUUUGUGGUGUGGUGAGCGCGCGGGUGUGGGUCGGGGUCCCGGUGAUGGUAGGCAAGCGUGUUAACAGGGGUGACGCAGGAAGGUAGCUGCAGUGCGCCGAUGGUUGUGCGUAUUUAAGGUUGUGGCCCGUUCUCUUAGGUAAAUCCGAGGGGGCUUGUGGGUGAGAACUGAUGAGGGACACACGCGUGUGUGGACUUGUGGUGAUCCUAUGCUGCCAAGAAAAGCCUCGACGUGAGGGCAUAACGCGCCCGUACCCGAAACCGACUCAGGUGGUCAGGUAGAGUAUACCGAGGCGUUCGAGUGAAUCAUGGUUAAGGAACUCGGCAAAAUUCCUCCGUAACUUCGGGAUAAGGAGGACCCCGUGGCUUCUCCCUGCCGUGCGUGGGGUGGGGGCUGUGGGGUCGCAGAGAAUAGGGAGAAGCGACUGUUUAUCAAAAACACAGGUGCGUGCGAAGCCGUAAGGCGAUGUAUACGCACUGACGCCUGCCCGGUGCUGGAAGGUUAAGAGGAACUGUUAACACCCCCCCCGGGGGGGUGUGAAGCGGUGAAUUUAAGCCCCAGUAAACGGCGGUGGUAACUAUAACCAUCCUAAGGUAGCGAAAUUCCUUGUCGGGUAAGUUCCGACCUGCACGAAUGGCGUAACGACUUCUCCGCUGUCUCGACCGUGAACUCGGUGAAAUUGCAGUACGAGUAAAGAUGCUCGUUUCGCGCAGAAGGACGGAAAGACCCCGGGACCUUUACUAUAGCUUGGUAUUGGUGUUCGCUUGGGCUUGUGUAGGAUAGGUGGGAGACUGUGAAACCAUGGCGCCAGCCGUGGUGGAGUCGUCGUUGAAAUACCAUUCUGGUUCAAGCGGUCACCUUAACCUUGGCCCGUGAUCCGGGUUGGGGACAGUGCCUGGUGGGUAGUUUAACUGGGGCGGUUGCCUCCUAAAAAGUAACGGAGGCGCUCAAAGGUUCCCUCAGCCUGGUUGGUCAUCAGGUGGCGAGUGCAAGUGUACAAGGGAGCUUGACUGUGAGACCGACGGGUCGAGCAGGUGCGAAAGCAGGAACUAGUGAUCCGGCCAUGGCACGUGGGUGCGUGGUCGCUCAACGGAUAAAAGGUACCCCGGGGAUAACAGGCUGAUCUUGCCCAAGAGUCCAUAUCGACGGCAUGGUUUGGCACCUCGAUGUCGGCUCGUCGCAUCCUGGGGCUGGAGUUGGUCCCAAGGGUUGGGCUGUUCGCCCAUUAAAGCGGUACGCGAGCUGGGUUCAGAACGUCGUGAGACAGUUCGGUCCCUAUCCUCUGCGCGCGCAGGAAACUUGAUGGAGGGCCGUCCCUAGUACGAGAGGACCGGGAUGGACGAACCUCUGGUGUGCCAGUUGUACCGCCAGGUGCAUGGCUGGUUAGCUACGUUCGGAAGGGAUAACCGCUGAAAGCAUCUAAGCGGGAAGCCUGCUCUAAGAUGAGGUUUCCACGCCCCCCCUGGGGGGUGAGAGGCCCCCGCCAGACUAGCGGGUUGAUAGGCCAGAGGUGGAAGCACCGCGAGGUGCUCGCGAGCCGACUGGUACUAAUUACGGCCGACACUAAACAAAACCCCACACACCC
rnacentral:rRNA from 1 species